rnacentral:rRNA from 1 species
UACAGAGGUGCUCAAGCGUUUGUUCGGGAUUUAUUAGGGCGUAAAGGGCGCGUAGGGCGGCGCGGUAAGUCGGGUGUGAAAUCUCGGAGCUUAACUCCGAAACUGCAUUCGAUACUGCCGUGCUUGAGGACUGGAGAGGAGACUAGGAAUUGACGGUGAGCGGUGAAAUGCGUAGAGUAUCGAUAAGGAAGACCAGUGGCGAAGGCGGGUCUCUGGACAGU